rnacentral:rRNA from 1 species
GGCACCUUCGGUGUCCGAGUUGUAAUUUGAAGAAGGUAACUUUGGAGUUGGCUCUUGUCUAUGUUCCUUGGAACAGGACGUCACAGAGGGUGAGAAUCCCGUGCGAUGAGAUGUCCAACUCUAUGUAAAGUGCUUUCGAAGAGUCGAGUUGUUUGGGAAUGCAGCUCUAAGUGGGUGGUAAAUUCCAUCUAAAGCUAAAUAUUGGCGAGAGACCGAUAGCGAACAAGUACAGUGAUGGAAAGAUGAAAAGAACUUUGAAAAGAGAGUGAAAAAGUACGUGAAAUUGUUGAAAGGGAAGGGUUUGAGAUCAGACUUGGUAUUUUGUAUGUCUUGCUUUCGGGUGGGGCCUCUGCAGUUUACUGGGCCAGCAUCGGUUUGGACGGUAGGAUAAUGACAUUGGAAUGUGGCACUACUUCGGUGGUGUGUUAUAGACUUUGUUGAUACUGCCUGUCUAGACCGAGGACUGCGUCUUUGACUAGGAUGCUGGCAUAAUGAUCCUAAACCGC